UACAGAACGACGCUGGCGGCAGGCUUAACACACGCAAGUUGAACGGGAUUUCAAGGUAGCUUGCUAUUUGGAUGAGAGUGGCGCACGGGUGAGUAAUACGUGGGAACAUACCUGUUGGUUCGGAACAACUGAUGGAAACGUCAGCUAAUACCGGAUAAGCCCUGAGGGGGAAAGAUUUAUUGCCGAUAGAAUGGCCCGCGGCAGAUUAGGCAGUUGGUGGGGUAAAGGCCUACCAAACCUACGAUCUGUAGCUGGUCUGAGAGGACGAUCAGCCACAUUGGGACUGAGACACGGCCCAGACUCCUACGGGAGGCAGCAGUGAGGAAUAUUGGGCAAUGGGGGAAACCCUGACCCAAGCCAUGCCGCGUGAGUGAAGAAGGUUUUCGGAUUGUAAAGCUCUUUCGGGAGAGAAGAUGAUGACGGUAUCUCCAGAAGAAGCCCCGGCAAACUUCGUGCCAGCAGCGGC
rnacentral:rRNA from 1 species